GUUUUGGUAAGCCAAGCUCCUACUCUGGCUGACAGGAUGGCAUCUAUGGCAUUGUCAAUGGUAGCGUAUUGGAGCGAAAAUUCCUCAGAUGGAAUGAGAGAGAGCUGAGAAUAGGUGUUGUAGUAGCGUGGGGAGCAGAGAGGUCGAUGAUUAACCUUUGCUUAUUCGAAGUUUAUUUCGAGGGUUAGUUAUCCACAUGGAAAAGGGUGGAGAGUUGAACGGACCUAGUAAAAACCCCUGAUCUACUUCUUUUCUUUCUUGAGCAGCUCGUUGAUAGUGUCAGUGUUCGCAAGAGCUGUCUGUAAGUUGUUGCAUUCGACUAUCCCUGAAGGCAUGUAAAUGAUACCUGUGUGAAACCCAUCCGUAAACCCAGACACAAGAAAUUCCACUAAAUGUUGUGAGGGGUGGUCGUACAACAAUUCCCUAAGAGUGAGAUAUUUAGUAGUGUGUGUGUGUGGAACUGCACUCACUCCCAUAAAUCUGAGCCAGGGUGCUUGCUGAACCGGAUUCAAACACCAGAUUUCCAAAAAUGAAUAAAGUAAUAGAGGUCCAGGCACUCCUUGGUUCAAGGCAGGUACUUUAUUAGGAACCACAACAGCAAU